rnacentral:rRNA from 1 species
AGAGUUUGAUCAUGGCUCAGAACGAACGCUGGCGGCGUGCCUAACACAUGCAAGUCGAGCGCGAAUGGAGUAAUCCUAGUAGAGCGGCGCACGGGUGCGUAACACGUGGGUAAUCUGCCUGGAAGAUCGGGAUAACCUGCCGAAAGGCUGGCUAAUACCGGAUAAUCCUCUGGGAUCUUCGGAUCCUGUAGGAAAAGAUGGCCUCUGUAUACAAGCUAUCACUUCUAGAUGAGCCCGCGGCCCAUCAGCUAGUUGGCGGGGUAAUGGCCCACCAAGGCGACGACGGGUAGCUGGUCUGAGAGGACGAUCAGCCACACUGGAACUGAGACACGGUCCAGACUCCUACGGGAGGCAGCAGUGGGGAAUUUUGCGCAAUGGGCGAAAGCCUGACGCAGCAACGCCGCGUGUGUGAUGAAGGUCUUCGGAUUGUAAAGCACUUUCGACCGGGACGAAAUACUGUUGGCUAAUAUCCAGCAGCUUGACGGUACCGGGAGAAGAAGCACCGGCUAACUCUGUGCCAGCAGCCGCGGUAAUACAGAGGGUGCAAGCGUUGUUCGGAAUUAUUGGGCGUAAAGCGCGUGUAGGCGGCUUUGCAAGUCGGGUGUGAAAGCCCUCAGCUUAACUGAGGAAGUGCGCCCGAAACUGCGGAGCUUGAGUACCGGAGAGGAUGGCGGAAUUCCCCAAGUAGAGGUGAAAUUCGUAGAUAUGGGGAGGAACACCGGUGGCGAAGGCGGCCAUCUGGACGGAUACUGACGCUGAGACGCGAAAGCGUGGGUAGCAAACAGGAUUAGAUACCCUAGUAGUCC